CGUAGGGUGCGAGCGUUAAUCGGAAUUACUGGGCGUAAAGCGUGCGCAGGCGGUUUUGUAAGACAGGCGUGAAAUCCCCGGGCUCAACCUGGGAACUGCGCUUGUGACUGCAAGGCUAGAGUACGGCAGAGGGGGGUGGAAUUCCACGUGUAGCAGUGAAAUGCGUAGAGAUGUGGAGGAAUACCAAUGGCGAAGGCAGCCCCCUGGGUCGAUACUGACGCUCAUGCGCGAAAGCGUGGGUAGCAAACAGGAUUAGAUACCCUGGUAGUCCACGCCCUAAACGAUGUCAACUAGGUGUUGGGUGGGUAAAACCAUUUAGUACCGGAGCUAGCGCGUGAAGUUGACCGCCUGGGGAGUACGGCCGCAAGGUUA
rnacentral:rRNA from 1 species